UACGAGGGGGCGAGCGUUGUUCGGAAUUAUUGGGCGUAAAGGGUGCGUAGGCGGUUUGGUAAGUCUUGUGUGAAAUCUACAGGCUCAACUUGUAGUCUGCACGAGAAACUGCCGGGCUUGAGUGUGGGAGAGGUGAGUGGAAUUCCUGGUGUAGCGGUGAAAUGCGUAGAUAUCAGGAGGAACACCUGUGGCGAAAGCGGCUCACUGGACCAUAACUGACGCUGAUGCACGAAAGCUAGGGGAGCAAACGGG
rnacentral:rRNA from 1 species